rnacentral:ncRNA from 2 species
UGCCCCGAGGAGCGUUGCGAUGGCGUCGGCCACCAGGCUCGGGGCGAGCCGCGGCACCGGUCGCGGCCGCAGCAACGGCGCUCGUCCCAU